CACUUCGAAUGACUGCCUAUUUAUUGAAUUGAGUAGCUUAAGUAGCUGCUAUUUAAAUAAAGCACAGUUAUUUUUACCAUUUUUUUAUUUUGGCGAGUGCAAAAGUCCUUAUCUAAUGGAAAUGUCGCGGCGAAGUACAGAGAUAGUGGACGAAAGGUGCGGUGCAAUAGUUAAGGGUGCAGGUUCGUGGGUUUGGACUUUUUUAUUAUCGGCGAAAUAUACAUACAUAUAUGUUAGUAUAAAAUUAAUAUUAUAUUUGGAUACAACAUUUCACAACGUUUAAGUUGACACUUUGUAGUGGGUUAACCCAACGAAAAUCACGGUAGUGGACAAUAUUUGCGAUAAGCGCCAUUCAAUUGGCUAUAAAAUUCAAAAUAAUUGAGAUUCGCACGCGAUUUCUGGCGUUCAAAGUAAACAAAGUGGAGCGGAGCAAGUGGUGGAGUAGUGAAGACUAUAUAUUUGUAUAUACAUAUAUAGUUAUACAUAUAGUGUAGGUAAAGCGGUUAUCAGUACUUAAGGCAAGGGCAAACUGCUGGUACUAGGGUGAUGGAUAAUUGGCUUAGAACAAUAUUUAAAGGAAUUAAAAACAAGUUAAACCGUUAACUUCGGCUGCAUCGAAGCAACACAAUAAACUCCAAUUAUUUUGUUCAUAAAGAGUUUUGUUUACUCGAGUAAGGGCCUACCCUUAAUAUUUUAAUUAUAAUUUUUAUUGCAACAGUUAUGACUGGCGCCAAGGCAAUAGAGAUGGAAAGACAGUUACAGGCUUUAAGGUUCGCAUAGACGAGUGAAUAAACUGAUGAGUACUGAUUAAAAAUGAGAUUGGCUUAGUUCUCCCACAAAAAGUUAACUUUCUCUCGAUUUGCUUUUUGUCUUCAACUGAGACUCAGACAUUAUUUGAAAGUGAUCAGCACUGAUGGUUCAUAUAAUGAGCAAUAUGUGAUUGGUCUGUUUUAAAUAAUCGCUUGGUAAAAAAAAUAUUUAAAAUAUUUAAAAUAACAUCGAUGAGAUCAUCACAGUAAAAUUGGAGUGCAUACACGAUUUCAUAUAUAUAAUAACCGUUAUCUGUUUCACAUGUGUUUGCGCAAAUGUCAUAUAAAGCUAUGAAUGUGCUUGAAUAAAGCUAAUAAAUUAAAAACUUUUGCGUUAAAAUUGUUUUCGACAUUUUCUGCAAACAAUGCAAAUACCACAACAAAAAAUGACAAUUUGUCAACAAGCAAGAAAUAAACAAACUGUAAUCAAUAGUUAAGCCGUUUGUGCUAAAAAGCCCUGAAUUAUUGUUAUUACCAUUCGUAUAUUGCUAUAAACGAUUGAAGCGGUCAAUGCACCCGCUCGUGUGUACGCUGCUGGCAAUCAGGGUCAAAUAUUAUUGCGAAUUUGCUAUAAUUGAAGUGGAGUAAACAAAUCAUUGUACGCACUUAUGGCUUUUGUGUGCAUAUGGCAACUGUUGACAGCGCCACUGAAGCCAUUCAAGUUGAGGGUGAUGAAUACAAUGCUGUUGCAAUAAAGCAAGUCUUCAUAGAAAAAUAGAUGUCGGUAAUUACAUGUGGGUAUUUUAUAUGUUUUUAGCAGAGAAAUAUAAUGAGAAUAUAUUUCAAUACCACUUGAAUACGCAGGGUUCAAUAUACAAUACUGUUAUACGCGCAAAAAGGGCAUAAAUAACGGAAUAUCUAUAAUUAUAUAUAAUAUAUAUUU